GAUGAACGCUGGCGGCGUGCUUAAUACAUGCAAGUCGAGCGAACAGACGAGGAGCUUGCUCCUCUCACGUUAGCGACGGACGGGUGAGUAACACGUGGAUAACCUACCUAUAAGACUGGGAUAACUUCGGGAAACCGGAGCUAAUACCGGAUCAUAUAUUGAACCGCAUGGUUCAAUAGUGAAAGACGGUUUUGCUGUCACUUAUAGAUGGUUCCGCGCCGCAUUAGCUAGUUGGUAAGGUAACGGCUUACCAAGGCAACGAUGCGUAGCCGACCUGAGAGGAUGAUCGGCCACACUGGAACUGAGACACGGCCCAGACUCCUACGGGAGGCAGCAGUAGGGAAUCUUCGGCAAUGGGCGAAAGCCUGACGGAGCAACGCCGCGUGAGUGAUGAAGGCCUUCGGAUCGUAAAACUCUGUUAUUAGGGAAGAACAAAUGUGUAAGUAACUAUGGACGGCUUGACGGUACCGAAUCAGAAAGCAACGGCUAACUACGUG
rnacentral:rRNA from 1 species